ensembl:lncRNA
GGUGAUUACAGAAUAAAUGUACUGUAAUAUAUUCGAUUAAACACUGAUCAUUUACUUAAACAUGAACUGAAUGAUGAAGUGUGUUUUCUGCAGUUUCAUCAAGACAGGAAGUAAAGUGAAAUAGUGAGAAGUGUGUUGACUUCACACUUCAUUAAUGCUUUUGUUUGUUUGUUUGUUUUUUCCUUCAAGGGUUGUGAACAUGACAAAGAGGAAGUCCUGACACAUUACAGAUUAGUCUCACUGGAUGCUCACAGCCUGAAAAACAUGCUGCACAUGUCAGCAGUUCUGUGCUAUGCUUUCUUCUGUACAGUAUGUACUCAUUUUAUUAAUGCAUUUUUUACAUGUCCUGCAUUUCUGUUUCUCUCUGUUCCAGUUUAUGUUGUACCGGUGACACAUACAGAGGCAGAAGACAAAGAAAGAGGAAGUCAGCAUCUCAUCACAUUCAUGAUUCACACCCUGCCAGGAACCACCUGAAACACACACCGAGAGCCUCAGACCCAUGUAGAGAGGAAUCUACUAACAACAGAGAAGAUCGUCACUGUGAUCUUCAGAAAUCUGAGUGAACAGGAUUCUGGGAAGUACAAGUGUGGAGUUGAUAAGUUAGGAAUAGAUUCCUACACUGAAGUGAAUCUGAACGUUAUAACAGCGCCAAAAACAGUAUCAGUAUCAUCACCAUCACCCUCAACAACAACAUCAUCAUCAUCAUCAUCAUCAUCAUCAUCAAUCACAACUCCACCUAUUUCACUAAAUUCCCAGCCAUCGACAUCUGAUUUCACAUUGGAUUCUCCGUCUGUCUCGAAUGGUAUUCUGGUGAUCCGUUCAUUCAUCUUCUCUCAUUCACCUGCAGUUAUCAGAGAGAAUCAGUCUCUCGUUGUGUUUUCUCUCAGGUUUGUGUCUGAUCAUCGUCGUGUCUGUGGUUCUUCCUCUGCUCAUCGCUGGACUCGUUUCAUGUAUAGUGACUGUCUGCAUGAAGCGUCAGGCUCGAGCUAAAGGCUCUGAUUCAGCCUCUAAAAUGCCUGAACCUGGAACAGAAAACAGUAAAGCGGUUCCUCAAACGCUGUACAUUUACGAGGGGAUUAAAGACACCAGAACUGCCCAAUUACCCACAAACCCCUCUGAUUCCACUAAAACAGUUUAUGCUACGGCCCAGUUACCCACAAACCCUUCUGGUUCUAUUACCACAGUUUAUUCUACUCCGCAAUUACCCACAAACCCCUCUGUUGAGUGGCAUAAACAGUGUAAGAAUCAGUUAACCACAAAUCCAUCUGCUUCUUGCUAUGUUUAUGCUACUCCAGGAUUACCCACAACCCCCUCUGAUUCUACUAAAACAGUCUAUGCUACUCCACAAUUACCCACAACCCCCUCUGAUUCUACGAACACCGUUUAUGCUAACGUUUAACAGUGCAGAAGUUCGCAAGAGCCAGGGAUUAUAGUAAAUACAUGUUUUACAAGUGAUUGACCAUUUCAAUUUGUUGUUGUACCUGAUGAAGUCAUAUAUAUAUAUAUAUAUAUAUAUAUAUAUAUAUAUAUAUAUACACAUCUCAAAUAUUUUCUCAUUUUGCUUAACAUUGUAUGUGCAAUAAUGUGUUUUAUGUGUGGUUUGUUGUAUAUAUGUAUAUAUGUAACUAUGAACAACAUAAACAGAGGUGGAAAGAGUACAAAAAUAUUCUACUCAAGUAAAAGUACCAUUACAUUAAUGAAAUUUUACUUAAGUACAAGUAAAAGUACCAGUCUAAAAAUCUACUCAAGUAAAAGUAAAAAGUAGCUCAUUUAAAAUUUACUCAGAGUAAAAAUUACUUAGUUACAUUUUAACAGUGGGAGGGAGUCAAAAUUGGGACAGACCAAGGGUGUCGAACUCAGUUCCUGGAGGGCCACAGUCCUGCAUAGUUUAGAUAUAACCCUAAUUAAACACCUGAUCCAGCUAAUCUAAUUGUUUAGGCUUAUUUGAAAACUACAUGGUAGGUGUGCUGGAGCAGGGUUAGAACUAAACUCUGCAGGGCUACGGCCCUCCAGGAACUGAGUUUGACACCCCUGGGAUAGGCCUAUUAAUCUCAAACCAGUUGUUUUUAAUUAAAGGAAUCAGUUAUUUAGAGUAAUAAGACAUUUGGGCUGUUACCAGGCAAAUCAGUAUCAACAAAUUCAUCUUUUCAAUGCAGAGGAAAUGCAGAAGCUUCAUUGGAAGUGGCAUUUAGAUGUAUUUACACACUGUUUAGUGCAGCACAAAAAUGCAUUUAACCUGCAGUUACAAAUGCAUGAAUAAUGUUUUGAUAUACAAGACAUAAAAUGUUGAAUACUCAUUUGAAAUGAUAAGAAAUUAAUUAUUUAAAAAAAUCAAAAGAUAUUGCGAUUCAUUGGGAGUCAUUGCGAUUGAACCGAAUCAUUCAGGAACGAAACACUGUCAUGUUGCUCAGAGACGCAAAACUGUGCUAUGGUGGCUGUGUUUGGAAUUAUUUUUUGUUGUAGAAAUAGAGCAAAAACAGGCAAUAUGGUGUCUAAAACGCAAGUCUCUUAAUUAACUUGUUUACUGACCUGUAUAUAUAGCACACUCCGCACCAGUCUUUUUGGCUAAUUUGUGUAAAACCUCUUGCUAAAAUGUCAAAGCUUUAUUUUAACCACCAAUGCAACGAUGCAAUUAUUUAGCUUACCUCUAUAUGCUUGCGAAGGGUUGACGUCUUGUCGAGAUUUUAUUAGCUGCUAGUUUGGUCUUCCUAGGCAAGCACAGCUUGCACUGCUUAAUAAAGCAUAAAUAUGGCCAGGGCUUCA